rnacentral:lncRNA from 1 species
AGUUCAGCACCUGUGAAGCAAAGCCAAGAAGUGGCACCUGCAGGCUGGCAGAGCUAUCGCUGGUCCUGAAGCUGAGAGACAGUUUCUUAGAGGGAAGUCAGAAGUCGCCCACACAAUCUUCACAGACACCAGCUUUACCAUAACAUUUGAAUACAGUGGCAACUUCCUGUCCCGAAGCCUCGCCUUUUCUGGUACUUCUGCCCGAGCAACUGUAGGGUUCCCAGGAACAUCUUGACUGAGUUCCCCACUUCCACGACACCAUGGUGGCAGGUGCCGAACAUCUCCUGGUCACCUGUGAUGUAUCAAAUCCACAAAUAUCUCUGGAGAAACACCUCUGAAGGGCCAACAGGGAUAGUAGCAAGCAGCGGAAACUGUCCCUGAAGCCAAAUGGAGCCUUCCCUUGGUCACCGUGGCUUUUUGGAACACCACAUUUUCCUAGUUUUUCUACAAAUCAAUUUUCU